rnacentral:rRNA from 1 species
GACGAACGCUGGCGGCGUGCCUAAUACAUGCAAGUAGGACGCACAGCCUAUACCGUAGCUUGCUACACCAUAGGCUGUGAGUUGCGAACGGGUGAGUAACGCGUAGGUAACCUGCCUAUUAGAGGGGGAUAACUAUUGGAAACGAUAGCUAAUACCGCAUAACAGUAUGUAACACAUGUUAGAUGCUUGAAAGAUGCAAUUGCAUCGCUAGUAGAUGGACCUGCGUUGUAUUAGCUAGUAGGUAGGGUAAUGGCCUACCUAGGCAACGAUACAUAGCCGACCUGAGAGGGUGAUCGGUCACACUGGGACUGAGACACGGCCCAGACUCCUACGGGAGGCAGCAGUAGGGAAUCUUCGGCAAUGGGGGGAACCCUGACCGAGCAACGCCGCGUGAGUGAAGAAGGUUUUCGGAUCGUAAAGCUCUGUUGUUAAGGAAGAACGAGUGUGAGAAUGGAAAGUUCAUACUGUGACGGUACUUAACCAGAAAGGGACGGCUAACUACGUGCCAGCAGCCGCGGUAAUACGUAGGUCCCGAGCGUUGUCCGGAUUUAUUGGGCGUAAAGCGAGCGCAGGCGGUUAGAAAAGUCUGAAGUGAAAGGCAGUGGCUCAACCAUUGUAGGCUUUGGAAACUGUUUAACUUGAGUGCAGAAGGGGAGAGUGGAAUUCCAUGUGUAGCGGUGAAAUGCGUAGAUAUAUGGAGGAACACCGGUGGCGAAAGCGGCUCUCUGGUCUGUCACUGACGCUGAGGCUCGAAAGCGUGGGGAGCGAACAGG